UACGUAGGGCGCAAGCGUUAUCCGGAAUUAUUGGGCGUAAAGAGCUCGUAGGCGGUUUGUCGCGUCUGCCGUGAAAGUCCGGGGCUCAACUCCGGAUCUGCGGUGGGUACGGGCAGACUAGAGUGCAGUAGGGGAGACUGGAAUUCCUGGUGUAGCGGUGAAAUGCGCAGAUAUCAGGAGGAACACCGAUGGCGAAGGCGGGUCUCUGGGCCGAUACUGACGCUGAGGAGCGAAAGCGUGGGGAGCGAACAGG
rnacentral:rRNA from 1 species